rnacentral:lncRNA from 1 species
AAAAAAAAAAAAAAAAAAAACUGAAUAGGUUUUCCUCGUUGCUCCACUUGUCCGGUGAAUAUUUUAGACUUGUGAUGAUAUCUUGCCGCACCUAGCCCGUUGGUAACUUUUUUGGGUGCAGAUCUUCUCCACCUACUCGCUCUCUCUGUAAGAUGAGCCAAAAAAAAAAACAAAUGAUGUCUUAAUCACCCAGACAUGAACGAUAAUCCAACAUGAAUCUUAAAGCUCAAACUAUUCGCUUUAAAAGUUGACGUGUAACUACCUGUACCUACCACUGUGACGAUGUUUUUUUUGGAACAUACAAGUGGGCUGGAGUCGACCCGACCAACCCCGAUCCAAAGACCAAAUCUGAUCAGGGCAAUUUAAUAACAUACAAAUAUCUCCCUUUUUUUUUUAAUCUAUACUAUUUAUUUUAUAUUAUUAAAUUUUAUUAUCAAUUAUUUUAAUUUUAACAUAUUACUUUAAUUAGAAUUAUUAUUUUUAUUUAUAUUCACUUUUUUAUGUUAACUAUUUAUAUAAAAUUUAUUAACCAUUUAAAUUAAAGUAUAAAUAAUUUUUUAUUUAUAUAAUUAAUAUAUAAAUUUAUUUAUAUAUAAUUGAUUUAUAAAAUAUUUUAUUAAAUUCAAUUAAUAUCUAUUAUAAAUUUAUAUAUUAUUCUAUUCAUUUUAUUACAAAUAAAUGUUAUAAAAUUAAUAAUAAUAAUAUUUUAUUAUCAAAAAAUAAUUUAGUAAAAAUAUGAUAUAAAUAUCACCGAUUUUUUUUUACUUCUUUUAUAUUAAAUAAAAAAUAAUUAUUUUUAUCUAUUUUUUAAUAAAUAUAAGAUUCAUCUAUCCUUAUCUCUUUUUCUUUUAAUUCUUCCCCAAAUCCAUAUAUUGUAUGUAAAGGAGAGGAAAGUUCUUACCAAAAAAAAAAAAAAAGAAAAAAGGAGAGAGAGUAAAAGGAGAGGAUCUCCCUCGUGAUGCCCUUUUGUUUACCGCCAGGUCGGGCGGGUGAAGAAGGCUAAAAGGCACGCCUACUUCUCGAGGCGAUUCCCCUCCCACCUCCCUCUCCCUCGCCAACUCCUCUCCUUUUCUCGUGCAGAGAGCCUCCUCUCCUCUCCUCACCUAAACGCCCCCUCUCUCUAUAUAUACUUCUUCCGCCUCCAUUCUUCCCCAGUUCCCUUUCCCUCCUUUCCUCCUCCACUGUCUCCUUUCUCUUCUUCUACCCUUCUUUCCCCUGCGGCUCUCUCUUGUUCGACUUGAGAGAGAUAGAGACAGACAAACGUCUCCGAGCUCAAAGGUACUGCCUUUCAGUCGCAUUAGCAACAAUGUCGGCUUGCAAGGACAGGGAACAGGACCCCCGCAUCGAAGGCAUAGCUUCUUCCAUCCGUGUCGUUCCCAACUUCCCCAAGCCAGGUCCCUCCCACACUCACCUGCUUCGCCUUCGUCUCCUAUCUCGCUUGUUCUUCCGAACCCGAUCUCUCUCCCUUUUUUUUCCCUCUCUUUUGUUCCUUUUCUUGAAAUCUUGGUGUCAAAGAUCGGUUCUUUUUAGAAAUUUUGGUGCGACUGAUGGAUGAUUGUGGCAGGUAUCAUGUUUCAAGACAUCACCACUCUCCUUCUUGAUCCCAAAGCGUUCAAGAACACGGUGGAUUUGUUCGUGGAGCGUUACACCGGGAAGGAUAUCACCGUUGUUGCUGGUAAAUAUCUUGAUUUACUUCACUUUUUUUUUUUUUCCCUCGUUCCAAGAUGUGAUAUUUCCUUCUGUCUUUUUUUCUCCCUUCGCUUCCUUACAUGGUGAAUCGGUCUUCUUUCGCUCGCUUCUUUUUCCCUAUCAACUCUUGUUGGCUAUCACUAUCGUUUAAAAUGACGGUUGUGGGACCAUUUUCUUUCGCUCGUGGGUUCUUUCUUUCUUUCUUUCUUGCAUUCUUUUUUAUUUUUGGGAGGAAGGGUGAUAGAUUGAGGAACAGAGAGCUCCCUAGUUUUCAUUAUUUCCAUUGGAGAAAUGCUCGGCCGCCUUUUUGGCGCAUCGAGAACAUUUUUGGCAGUGGUAGGGGCGCCUGGUUUGACUGCAUCGCCAUAUCCAGUGCCCAUGUUAUCAUGGGCCAGCUGUGAAUUGUGGACUGCCCGCUUCUGGCUUCUAUUUCGUUUCUGUUUUUGUGGAGGCGGCGCUCUCGAUGCUGACAUCGCUCCCUGGUCCCCCCCCUCCAAUUUCUGAAAGCGUCGCCGCUGUUUGGUCGAUCUCCAUAUUCUGUUUUUAUGCCUGUUAUUUUCCUUACCUGUUUGGAUUUGGUAGGUAUGGUUGUGAUCUGAGUGUCGAAUCACACAGUUAUGGUCCCUUGGUGUAUUUGGAGCGUCCAAAAUUACGGCCUCCAGCUCAAAAGAGUGACAGAGGCUGCCCCUAUUCUGAUAGAGUUUUGAUGCUUGUUCACAUGUUGAUACACUAUGACUAAGAGAAGGCAUUUCAUGCUUCUAGUUCUUCUGGAUUGGUGAUUCUUACGAUCUUAUUGCUUCUUAGAUGCACUACAUCUGCCCGAGCUAUUUGCCUUUCUUGUGGGUGUAGAAUUUCAUACAUUCAUAUUAGAUGAUUGACUGUUUUCUUCUACUAGAAAUAAUGUACACGAUAUAUUUACUCCAUCCGAAGAGACCCGACUUUGAUGAUGGUUGAAGCAGUUGAAGGUAUUUUCAGAUUGAUAUACUGUUAAAAUUAUAGCUUUAAGCUGAUAGUCUUUACUUUAAGGAUUGCCCUAGAUUACCAACAUAAUUGGGAGAAGGAAUAACAUUAGUAAGGUAUAAUUCUUUGUGAAUAUCUGUAGCAACCUGAAAUGAAUCGCUUAUUUUACUCCACAUUCGAACAACAAUUUGUCAAUAACCGGUGCAUUUGUUGGCUGUCACUGGUAUAAGAUUAUGACUUAAUAAUGCUUUCCAGUACAUCCAUUCUUCUGUUGUAACAGUUAGCAUCAAAUUUCUUGUUGUCUUCCACCAUCAUAUAGCUAAAAGUGACCAGCUAUGUCUUUUCUUUCUAUGCUUUAUUAUUCUUUCUUUCAUGCUUUUACUGUUAGACAAUGGCUUGUAUAGUACUCUUAUCUUCUAGGAGGCGUCCUUGAAAACCAAUACUUCAGGUCCACCAUGUUAACGUGCCUGUACUAGCUUGUCUGCAAGCUCAAAUUAAUAAAGCGAAAGGUUAAUAAAUAUUGUUUGCGCAUGAGUCUUUGGGUCUUGCAAUACCUUAAAUCUGCCAUUAUGUAAGUUUAGACAAUACGAAUCUUUAUUCUUUAUGCACUAGUUUGGAACAUCAAUAAGUUUAGCCCAGUCCAUUAUCGUGGAAUCUCUUUAAAAUUGCUAUAUAAGUGGUCUACCAAGAGUACAAUCCAACCUCUUUUAGUUGACAGAAUACCUAUAGCUAUUGUGUUUGAGUUCAGAUGAUGGUGUUAAAACUGAUGAUUAGCAUUAGAAGGCCUACAUAAGUUUUGAGUCUGCUGCUAAUUCUUUUGUACCAAUGGUUUUUGGUGCUAGUAUUUGUUGUUGUGGGCUUUGAUUAUUUUUAUGUUCUCAAGCAUCAUGUCAAAAUUUUUUGAUAUCUAUUGAGACCAUUAUAAUCUUCAUCUGUGUGCUGUAGACAUUCCAAUGCUGUGCUGUAGACAUUCCAAUGCCCAACAAAAAGUUGGUGACUGUGUGAUUGUUUUGAUGACCAAAAAGUAAGGUUAAAAGGUAUUGUGAACAGUGGUCCUUACCUAAUAUGUUGCCAACUUGCAAAACCUCUGACCUAUUCAAACAAAGGGGUAGAAUGUCAGGCAAGUUAUGAUUCCUUUAUCUACCUGAUCAACAAGCACUACUUGCAACUUCAUUCCUAAGUGUUAAAUUGCCUUUUAGUAUUUUCAUGGCAUUCAGCAACUAAUUCCUCAUUAUCAUUUUGCUUUACUUAAUUAAUCAGGUUUUGCAUAGGCACACAAUAAGUCCAAGUAUAGAUAAUAUGUUACUUUUGUACCUUAUUUAUUGAUUAGAUGGCCAUAGGUGGAUGGGGUUGGUAUAGACGAACUAGAGUGGAGAGAGAUUUUAAGUGGCAGUUAAUGAGGCUUAUAGUGGUUUGUUUGGUUGCUAGGAGAUCUAGCAUAACCUUUUAUUUUGGUUUCUUUAGAGUUAAUAUGUCCGUUUUCUAUUCCUAAUUGCUUUGAAGGUUAAGGCUGCUGUUGGAUGAGAUUGUAGUAUGCCUCUGCCUUGUCUAGGAUUGUCUUAAGGUGCUUGGCUGACAGGAAUCUUUAGGGUUAUGAGUUUCUUGAGUUGGUUUUGAUCAUUUGUAUUAAAUUUUCAGGUCAAUUAGUGUUUAGGCACAAAAAAAAAAUUGAGGUUUUCCAUUAUAUGGGGUGUGACUGCACAAAGCUUUAGGUCCUGCCCUAGCAUUCUUCUUAGUUUUGGUAAUGCGGAGGCUAGUCUGGAAACAAUUAUAGUUUACUGAAUUGUCGAUAAAGUUCUUUUUGUUCUUGCUAGGAUGUGAUCAUCACUUAGAUGAUACUUCCAACCUUUUUCUUUACUUUUGCCAGAAUAUGAUAUCAUAAAACAAAAAAAAAGAACUAGAGUUUGCAAAUUUUUGCAUGACAACUUAGUUCUCAUUGAAAAAGGAAUUUUUAUGGCUUUUAUUUUGUGUUACCGCAUUAUAUAUUCUUCUACUUUGGAGGCAAUAUUAGUCAUUGCUUGGCCUUGAAAUCAUAUUUUUCUUUUUCUUUCUUGAGUUAAAGGUGGAAACCAACUUAAAUAUGUUUCUUGCAUGACGAGUGGGAGGUCCAGAUUUUGAACCUACCAACCUAGCACCAAAUUGCAAUCUACUCCCAGGCCAUAAUACAGCCCCAUACCCCCUCUCUCUCAGAGAGAGAGAGAGAGAGAGAGAGAGAGAGAGAGAGAGAGAGAGAGAGAGANNNNNNNNNNNNNNNNNNNNNNNNNNNNNNNNNNNNNNNNGAGAGAGAGAGAGAGAGAGAGGCCAAAGUAGGUUUUUAAAGCAAGGAGUUAAUAAAGAAGAACAGUAAGAAAGAGCAACUGGAAUGUCAAGUAGAUGAAUAUGUGGAGGCAUCAUUUAUGGAUAAACUACAAGACAUUUAUGGUUGUACUAUUGAUUGAUGAGACAGAAUCUUGAUUGCAAGGUGGGGGAUUUGGGAUAACACUUUUAAGAACAACUACCUAAAAAAUCAAAGAAACCCAAAACUCAUACAAUAUGUAGUUUUAUAAAUACAAGGGUUCAGCUUGUACUGCUCAUGAAGAGGAAUGCCAGAUGGAAAUACCACUUGAUUCUUGAUUGUGAAUGUGUUCAUAGAGCAUAAGAGGUUCAUUGUAAAUCAAACUCUAUAAAUGGCCUUGUUUUAGAUUUUGAAUAUUUAAAGUCAAGGCAUGUGCAUAAAAAUUGAGAUUUAAAAUUUUCCAUUCAGAUGUAUUUUUACUAAAACAUGAUAGAUUUGUCGCUGAUGUAUCAUUACAAAGAUUUUCUUUGUAAAAUAUCUGUACAUCGAUAUCCUAUUGAAUACUAAAACGUGAAGAAUAUUUUGAUCAUUUAUUAUUCAUUGCUGGAGUUAUUAUGUAAUUUUUAUGGAAAUAUAAACCAUCAUAUUUUGGUCAUUACUGUAAUCUUGGAUGCAUGAGACCAAAGUGCAGCAAAAUAUUCAACAUGGUGGAUGAGAGGGAGAGAUGCUUUUGCUUUCUAUGUGCAUGUUAGAUGCAUGAUUGUUGUAUGUCUGCCUUCAGGACUAAAGGAAAGACGUUAUAAACAAUUUAAGAUGCAAUGCAUCAUGGGGAUUAUAAUGUUGAGCAGCAAAUGGGGUCCACUCAACCAAACAACAGAUGGGUUCCAAGAUUGUAAAAUUGUGGGGCAGUUUGAUGUUUAAGAAAAGGUGGUUUGGAUGAGAAAUGAGGAUGUUUCCAAUAUAGUAUAUGCAUGUUGAUGAAGUUCUCAGUACCCCUGGGUUUUGAGAUCAGCUUAAAUUUGCAGCCUACGUGUCAAAAGAGAAGGGCAAGGUUUAAGAUAAGCUGGAUGAAAGUAUGAGAAAGGCAUUUGGAAAUAUUUUUUUAGUGAUGAAGUAUCUGGCCUAUGUUGGGUAUGGCUAGAGGAGCUGACACCGGAUAGGUUUUAACACUAUAUGGUCACGGACAUCAUUGCUCUCUCUCUCUCUCUCUCUCUCUCUCUCUCUCGUCUCAAUUUUCCCCCUUUUUGUGAUUGAUAUUUUGGACAGUCAGGAGCAGAUUGACCUAAAUUGUACAACAUGAAAGGCAUUGACAAAUGGAGGAGGGCAAAGUGCAAAACUCUGCUAGUAGUGAUAACAAGCCUUCAUUUGGCCUAGAUUUUUCUAGUUGCUAAAUCAAUUUGGAUGUAGACACUUGCAAGUCACCUCUUUUUUCCUUCUUAAUGUAUCAAGUUGGUAUGUCUUACGGCUUGUGUACAAUUAUGCCCUAGUCCUUGGACUGAUAUUAACAUUAUUUACAUGUUAAUGUUUAUGUUUUUAACAGGAAUUGAAGCUAGAGGUUUUAUAUUUGGUCCUCCAAUUGCUCUAGCAAUUGGUGCAAAGUUUAUUCCAUUGAGAAAACCAAGAAAGUUGCCAGGUAUUUCAAUUAUCCUAUUCUGAUUGGUUCAUUCAAAUUAUAUUGUGGUUAAUGAAUGGCAUAGAAACUUGCAUAUGUCCGUUGUGUUGUAACCAUAUUGAGUCAAUUACAAUAGCCAUAUCCAAGAAGCAUUAUUCAUACUCUGUAGCAUCAUGAACGCUCUAAUAUUCUGAAACACUGGCAAGUAUAGUCUCAUGUUGUGGUAUUGUGUUAAAAUGUACGGCUGCAUGAGCUAGUCUGUUUGGCUGCACUUAAAAUAAAGCUGGACCUACCUUGUGUUGACAGUUUGACUGGACUUUCAAAUUUAUGUUUUCAUAUUUGUACUAGUUACUACCAUAAAAAUUCCCAAAAUCCACUGUAAAAAUUCCCAAGUCUAUUACGGUCAUCCUGGUCUAUCCUAAAAUGGUGGCAUUUAUUGCAUGACUGUUCAGAUCAUGUAGAUAUGCUUAAAUCAUUUUAUGCAGCAGUAAUUUGAUUUUAAUAUUUUCAUUUAGUAGGAAAGGGUAGGAAGGAUUUUGAGGAUUUCAACUAUUAAAAUGUGGUGUUUCUCAUUGUAUGAGUUAAUUAACUGUGAUUUUAGUAAAGCAAAAAAAAAGAAAAAGAAACUUGUAACCUGUUUACAGUAUUCGAUUAUGUGUUAUGGGAAAUAUGUUGCAUUUACUGAUUUCUUAGAUGGAAAAUAUGAAGAUAAUGCAAGGGGUGCAGUUUUGGCCUGCAUUGUGUUAUUUCGAUAAUUUUUGGCCCAACUAAUGACUGUUGGCCUAUGGGCUGACUUGUGAUAAAAGGUGUCUAGGAUGCCUACUUCAUCUAUGAAACAAACUAAGUGGGAGCUGACCUUAGUUCGCUUGAUGGAUAAUUGUAAUGGCAAUGGUUUAGUGCUGAUUUCCAGUACCAAUAGUUUAACAGGGUCUCCAUAAAAGUUAAAACUUGUUGAAUUCUGCAUUAUGGCUGCAGACCAUAUUAAUCUAGAGUGUGACCACUGUGAUGAACCUUCUUCAUCCAAGGUUUGACCCAAUAAAUAUUGUUAACCUGUAAAUGUAGGACUGUGACGUCAAGAUCAAAGAGUUCCCUCUUUCCAACCAAAAAAAAAAAACCCACUACUGUCAUCAUUCCUUUUAAGCAAAGAAAAGUUCUAAUUCUUCUUCUUUAUGGAUUCAUGCAUUUGUCUCCUUAAGUGGUCUCAAAGAUCCUGUUAUAAUUUGAUUUGGUGAAAAGCUAUCUCCUAUAGAGUUUUUCCCUCUCUUGUAAGCCGACAUUUACAAAGCAAAAGGUAAAAUUUUUCUUAAUGGUGCCCCUUUGAUCAGAGCUGGUCUUAUGCUUCGGUUGGUUCAAGAUAGGGAUCACCUCAGAAUAUAAGCAGUUUUGAUUGGCUCUCAAGUUUGGGAACCUAAACAUAACCAGAAAAUGUUGAAAACCA